ACGAACGCUGGCGGCGUGCUUAACACAUGCAAGUCGAACGAUGAAGCCCUUCGGGGUGGAUUAGUGGCGAACGGGUGAGUAACACGUGGGCAAUCUGCCCUUCACUCUGGGACAAGCCCUGGAAACGGGGUCUAAUACCGGAUAACACUCUGUCCCGCAUGGGACGGGGUUAAAAGCUCCGGCGGUGAAGGAUGAGCCCGCGGCCUAUCAGCUUGUUGGUGGGGUAAUGGCCUACCAAGGCGACGACGGGUAGCCGGCCUGAGAGGGCGACCGGCCACACUGGGACUGAGACACGGCCCAG
rnacentral:rRNA from 1 species